rnacentral:ncRNA from 17 species
AGCAGGGCACGCAACUGGCGAUAGGCGCGGAGGUCUUCCGGGACACCGCCGCUGACGUGGACACCGGCAGGAAACAGCGUUUUUCUGCAAACCACUGGGGAGCGUGCCGCGCGGCAGGCACCAGCCCCGCAGCGAUCCGUCGUUCGCCUGGGCAGCCCUU